ensembl:processed_transcript B230216N24Rik RIKEN cDNA B230216N24 gene
AUCCCACAAUAAAGCCCCUCUCCUGUUGCUCUCCUGCCAGUGUGAUUAGCAAUGGAGGUCUUUGACCCAGGCAGUCACCGCUCUCAAGGAACAAGUGUCCAUGAAGAAGCAGCCUGAGCUGUUAGGCAUCUGCCUAUGCUCAAGACAUCCUCUGCCUACCCUGGCAGUUACCCUGGAUGGUUUUGCUGUCAUGAUUAAAACACAGAUGGAGCUCAUCCCUUCCCUGGGUGUUUGAUUGGCAGACUCUCUGUGAUCAGCACUCUUCUCUGGUGAACACAUCAGCGCCAUCUGCCUUCUGUCUGCCUGGAGAGACUUGCCACAGUAGAGCUUCCUCAGCCUCACAUGAACCGCUGCAAAGGAUGUGCGUUCCUUUUGCUGAAGCCGUCAAAUAAAAAAGCUUUUUCAUGAAAAGCUAAAUAGAAUACAUGAAGAUUUUCACGACAGUAGGCUUCCAGAUUAAUGAAAUAUUCAUUUAAAUUGGACUUGGAGGAUAUGUCACUUCUUUUCUUUGAUUAAAAUAUUUAGAGCAUAACACAAAAUCACUGUGUCUUGAAAAAGCAAAACUUCAAGGAAAUUCAGCUGAUGGGGCAUCUUGUUUUCAGUGAGGUUGUUAAAGAUGAUUUUUCUAACCAGGGUCAGGUGCUUGGAACCGUUAGGUGAAUGCUAGGUGUGGUGGCAGUCCUCUUGUGUGCUUAAGAGUUUAAGAGAUCGAACCCAAUAGAUAGUAAGCUUCUUUCAAAGAGAAUGCUAAUUUUAAUGUUUUUAUGACUUAAAUAGAUUGUAAUAAGUUAUUACUUCCUAAUUUAGAUGUUGGUAUGACGACUGGGCAGACGCAUGUUCUUGUUCCACAUCCACAUUGUAUGAAUGCAGAGUGUAGCCUGAGUGCUUAGAAAAGGGUACUUUUACGAGAUUGGAAGACUGGACAUCGUGACAUUAGGAGGAGGGAGGGGGUUACUGGGCUGUUCUAAAAUUAGCAAUGUGAAGAGCUGGUUCAAACUUAAUUGCCUAGGUGUGGAAGAAAUAUACUUGUAUUGUGUUUAAUAAUGUGAAUUAUCUGUAUCAUUAAAUAACAGGAAACCCGUUUGAGUUUCUUUUUCCUGUCCAAAUAAAUAAAUAAAUAAAUAAACAAAUAAAUAAAUAUAAUUAAC